ACAUUUUUAUACGCCCGUCUAUGACGGGACGUAUUAUGGUAUACCCCGCGUCCGUCCGUCCGUCCGUCCGUCUGUUAAUGUCGUACGCUACGUCAAAUAUCCUUUGACAGAUUUUCUUCAAAUUUUAACACAAUCUUAAUAUUGAUAAACCCUGAUCCCCUUUCGUUUUUGACGUAAUUCUGAAUUGUCGUUCCAGAGUUAUGGGACUUUGUUCGUCAAAAUUUCGUGAUUUCAUUGAAUGUCCUACUGUAGCUAUAUAAAAAUGUUAAAGUUGUUAUAACUUUGGUAUGCUUGGACCUAGAGUCUUGAAACUUGACAUGAAGGUUGGCCAGAACUAGUAAGUAACCACUGGACAUUUCAAGGUCAUUCAUUUGAAGGUCAAGGUCACUGUGACCUUGAAUGUAAAAAUGUUAAAGUUCUUAUUUCAUGUUAUAACUUUGGUAUGCUUGUACCUAGAGUCUUCAAACUUGAAAUAAAGAUUGGCCAGUACUAGAAGAUGACCACUGGUCAUUUCAAUGUCAUUCAUUUGAAGGUCAAGGUCACUGUGACCUUAAAUGUUAAAAUGUUAAAAUUGUUAUAACUUUGGUAUGCUUGGACAUAGAGUCUUCAAACUUGACAUGAAGGUUUGCAAGCACACUUAGAUGACCACUGGUCAUUUCAAGGUCAUUCAUUCUAAGGUCAAGGUCACUGUGACCUUAAAUGUUAUUGUUGUUCAUGUAUCCUACCGUAGCUCAAAUAUCCCCCGAUGGAUUUUUUAUACGCCCGUCUAUGACGGGACGUAUUAUGGUAUACCCCGCGUCCGUCUGUCCGUCCGUCCGUCCGUCCGUCCGUCCGUCUGUUAAUGUCGUACGCUACGUCAAAUAUCCUUUGACAGAUUUUCUUCAAAUUUUAACACAAUCUUAAUAUUGAUAAACCCUGAUCCCCUUUCGUUUUUGACGGAAUUCUGAAUUGUCGUUCCAGAGUUAUGGGACUUUGUUCGUCAAAAUUUCGUGAUUUCAUUGAAUGUCCUACUGUAGCUCAAAUAUCCUUCGAUGGAUUUUUUUCAAAUUUCAACACAAUCUUAAUAUUGAUAAACCCUGAUCCCCUUUCGUUUUUGACGGAAUUCUGAAUUGUCGUUCCAGAGUUAUGGGACUUUGUUCGUCAAAAUUUCGUGAUUUCCAUGCUCAUGUACUUAUAAAAUAAACCAUGUAUUCAAAUACAAAUAAACUGAAGUAAAAAAAUGA